AUCAGUGUUGAUUUUCAAAUUUCAACUCGAAAAAAAUGGAUAGCACGAUCCUCUACAUCACAUUUUUUCUUUCCAGGAAUUUUCUCAAGCCUAGAAUGGAUCCGGUUUUGGCAGAAGAGAGGAGAAUGACAGAGAAAUGCAACCGGCCAAUCUUCUUCGAACUGUAGAAUCUUUCGGGUAUCAUCUUCUGAAGAAUGAUCCUUACGAUGUGAACUGCGCCUUUUUUCAUGUAGUUGAUGCCAUAAUUAGUGAGGAUGGCAAGCACUUGGGGAAUAGAAUCGUACAGUAUAUUGAAAGAGAGGUUGCCAUGAUGAUAUAGAUGGAAGACAAUUCAUACAGUACAUUGACAGAGGCGUUUUUAAAUUUGGAGCAUGAAGGGCAUGUUGGUUCUCAGUCGCAACGAUUAAAACCGAAACAUUGCAACGAUCAAAACCAUACAAAGAUACAUACAGAUUGUUGAUGGACGUGUUUUCAGAUUUGGAGCAUAUUGGGU